CACAAGCCAGGGUCUUUACUUCCGCACGGCGCUAUAGCAAAGAUAGCUGUAGAUUGCUGUAGCGCCGUGCGGAAGUAAAGACCCUGGCUUGCGGGGUUG